rnacentral:rRNA from 1 species
UACGUAGGGACCGAGCGUUGUCCGGAAUCAUUGGGCGUAAAGAGCGUGUAGGCGGCUUGCUAAGUCUUGCGUGAAAUCUCGGGGCUCAACCCCGAGCGGUCGUGGGAAACUGGCAGGCUAGAGUGCGGGAGAGGAGAAUGGAAUUCCUGGUGUAGCGGUGAAAUGCGCAGAUAUCAAGAGGAACACCUGAGGUGAAGACGGGUUGCUGGGCUGACACUGACGCUGAGGCGCGAAAGCUAGGGUAGCAAACGGG